AGGGUUUGAUCCUGGCUCAGAUUGAACGCUGGCGGUAGGCUUAACACAUGCAAGUCGUGCGAGAAAGUAUCUUCGGAUAUGAGUAGAGCGGCGGACGGGUGAGUAACGCGUAGGAAUCUACCUAGUAGAAGGGGAUAGCCCGAGGAAACUCGGAUUAAUACCGUAUACCUCCUUCGGGAGAAAGAGGGCCUCUCUUUGAAGCUUUCGCUACUAGAUGAGCCUGCGUAAGAUUAGCUUGUUGGUGAGGUAAAGGCUCACCAAGGCUACGAUCUUUAGCGGGUCUGAGAGGACGAUCCGCCACAUUGGGACUGAGACACGGCCCAGACUCCUACGGGAGGCAGCAGUGGGGAAUAUUGGACAAUGGGCGCAAGCCUGAUCCAGCCAUACCGCGUGUGUGAAGAAGGCCCUAGGGUUGUAAAGCACUUUAAGUUGGGAAGAAAAGUUAUUGGCUAAUAUCCAAUAACCGUGACAUUACCAUCAGAAUAAGGACCGGCUAAUUCCGUGCCAGCAGCCGCGGUAAUAC
rnacentral:rRNA from 1 species